rnacentral:rRNA from 1 species
CGUAGGGUCCAAGCGUUAAUCGGAAUUACUGGGCGUAAAGCGUGCGCAGGCGGUUGGCAAAGUCAGCUGUGAAAGCCCCGGGCUUAACCUGGGAAUGGCGGUUGAAACUAGUCGACUAGAAUCUGGCAGAGGGGGGUGGAAUUCCACGUGUAGCAGUGAAAUGCGUAGAGAUGUGGAGGAACACCGAUGGCGAAGGCAGCCCCCUGGGCUGAGAUUGACGCUCAGGCACGAAAGCGUGGGGAGCAAACAGGAUUAGAUACCCUGGUAGUCCACGCCCUAAACGAUGUCAACUAGGUGUUGGGAGCGCAAGUUCUCAGUACCGCAGCUAACGCGUGAAGUUGACCGCCUGGGGAGUACGGUCGCAAGAUUA